rnacentral:rRNA from 1 species
CCUACGGGAGACAUCAGUAGGGAAUCUUCCACAAUGGGCGAGAGCCUGAUGGAGCAACGCCGCGUGGGUGAAGAAGGUCUUCGGAUCGUAAAACCCUGUUGUUAGAGAAGAAAGUGCGUGAGAGUAACUGUUCACGUUUCGACGGUAUCUAACCAGAAAGCCACGGCUAACUACGUGCCAGCAGCCGCGGUAAUACGUAGGUGGCAAGCGUUAUCCGGAUUUAUUGGGCGUAAAGGGAACGCAGGCGGUCUUUUAAGUCUGAUGUGAAAGCCUUCGGCUUAACCGGAGUAGUGCAUUGGAAACUGGGAGACGUGAGUGCAGAAGAGGAGAGUGGAACUCCAUGUGUAGCGGUGAAAUGCGUAGAUAUAUGGAAGAACACCAGUGGCGAAAGCGGCUCUCUGGUCUGUAACUGACGCUGAGGUUCGAAAGCGUGGGUAGCAAACAGGAUUAGAUACCCCUGUAGUC